rnacentral:rRNA from 1 species
UAGAGUUUGAUCCUGGCUCAGAUUGAACGCUGGCGGCGUGCUUAACACAUGCAAGUCGAGCGGUAACAGGUGUAGCAAUACAUGCUGACGAGCGGCGAACGGGUGAGUAAUGCUUCGGAAUCUUCCUCGUAGUGGGGAAUAACCUGGGGAAACUCAGGCUAAUACCGCAUACGAACUACGGUUGAAAGCAGGGGAUCGCAAGACCUUGCGCUAUGAGAUGAGCCGAAGUCGGAUUAGCUAGUUGGUGAGGUAAAGGCUCACCAAGGCGACGAUCCGUAGCUGGUCUGAGAGGACGACCAGCCACACUGGGACUGAGACACGGCCCAGACUCCUACGGGAGGCAGCAGUGGGGAAUAUUGGACAAUGGGGGCAACCCUGAUCCAGCGACGCCGCGUGUGUGAAGAAGGCCUGCGGGUUGUAAAGCACUUUUAGUGGGGAUGAAAAGCCAAGGGCCAAUACCCUUUGGUCUUGACCUAACCCAAAGAAAAAGCACCAGCGAACUCUGUGCCAGCAGCCGCGGUAAUA